rnacentral:tRNA from 1 species
GUCAUGAGGCCUAGUGGUCAUGGCAUCUGCCCGGUAAGCGGAAGGUCGUGGGUUCGAUUCCCAUCCCUUGACA